GGGGUUGUGGCUCAGUGGUAGAGCACCUGCCUAGGAAGCAUGAGGCACUGGUUCAAUUUCCAGCCCCA
rnacentral:tRNA from 1 species